rnacentral:rRNA from 1 species
AUGCGACCCCAGGAUGGGCGCCCCCGCUGAGUUUAAGCAUAU